AUCAGCACAAAAAUAGUGCAUUAAACAACCAAAACUAAGGACCCUCACAGAGUCCAUUUCACCCCCCUGCCACCUCCUCCAGAGCAGGUGCUGAUAUCCAUGGCUGAGACACCUGCAGACUGUUCACAUCACAGAACCCAGUGCAGACAAUCCCCAGUACCAGCCCGGAGCUUGGUAGACCUGCUGGGUGGCUAGAUCCAGAAGAGAAAUAACAAUCACAACAGCUCAGCUCUCAGGAAGCCACAUCCCUAGGAAAAGGGAGAGAGUACUUCAUCAAGGGAACACCCCAUGGGACAAAAGAAUUUGAACAGCAGCCUUGAGCCCUAGACCUUCCCUCUGACACAGCCUAACUAACUGAGAAGGAACCAGAAAAACAAUUCUGGUAAUAUGAUAAAACAAGGUUAACACCCACAAAAAAAUCACACUAGCUCACCAGCAAUGGAUCCAAACCAAGAAGAAAUCCCUGAUUUACCUGAAAAAGAAAUCAGAAGGUCAGUUAUUAAGCUAAAAUCAAGGAGGCAGAGAAAAGCAAAGUCCAAUUUAAGGAAAUAAAAAAUCUUAGUAACAAAAAUGAAACAAAAUUUAGCUAUCCCAAGCAAAUUUAGGAACAUAAAACAAUAACCAAACAGACGGGGUAAAAAGUAACUAUAAGAACCCCCAGGCUGGGCACAGCAGCCUGUGCCUGUAGUCCAAUUGUUUGGCAGGCCGAGGCAGGAGAAUCCCUUGAACCUAGGAGUUCGAGGCCAUCCUGGGCAGUCUAGCGAGACUAUGUCUCAAAACCAAACCAAACAAAAUACACAACGACAACAAAAAAGUUUUUGAAGAACCCUCAGAAACAUAAAUUAGGACCCUAAGCUAAGUAGACUUUAGUGCAGCAGCUCUGCAAUUUACAAGGCAAAAAUUACAACCCUGAAAAGCAGGAUGACACAAAGCCCGGAAAUAAUUUUCUACCAAUCUGGUUGGUCAGAUACUUGUCAGAAAACUGUUUUCCACGUUAUGAGCUUAAAUUCUUUUUACAG
rnacentral:lncRNA from 1 species